CUAGGAAGGGUCGAUAUCUAAAGGUUUCGUGAAUUUGUCGCGCUGUGUUUCAAAAUUUUAGGUUUAGUUUUAGGAAUUUUGACACGGUAAAGUUAUCUAAUUUCGUUGCAAGAAAACUUUGGCCAACAAACCCUAAUCAUCAAUUUGGGUGUUGGGUCCCUCUCUAACAGGGGGCCGAGAGGAGAUCGAGGUUGCGGAGGCCGACGUGAACAUGGAUGGUGACAAUGGAGAAGUCCUUCAGGCAAGGGAGAGACCAAUGUUGGUCAUGGUGGAGGUCUUGCCCAUGCCUCCCUUGCCAGAGGUGAUGAUGGCAACCCCAGAGGUGGAGCCAGAGAGCUCGAGCUUGCAGUUCCGCUGGAGGAGGGACCGAAGGAGAGGGGAAUGAGGCAGGAGGAAGAAUGUGAAGUUGGGGGCGGUGGUGGCGCCGGGAAGAAGUUUAAGAAAGGUCCAACGAAAUUGGUGCUAUAAAAAUAAACAUUUCUCCAAGCUAACAAAUUGAUGAAUGGAAAUUUCUGGUAAUAUUUUAGUCCAUCCAGUCACCAACACACUCAAAAAAUUUCUCAUUAUCAAAAAGGUCUAAUGAUGCCACAUAUAUCGUUUAGGUUAAUGGAGAUAUUUGAUGUUAGAAUGAAUUUAUUGCAUUUUUUACAAGUUAAAAGAAUAAAAUUUUAUUUUUU